GAGCCAUGAGUCACAGCAGCUGGCUCAAGGCUGGGAGGGGAAGUAAAACACUAAAUCUAAGGACCACUCUAUUCACCCUACAGUGACUGCUCUUUUUCCCUCCUGCCACAGUCCAGGGUAGGAGAUACUUCUCCAGGCUCUCACUUAUGGGGGCUUUCCUGCUGGCUACAUCACUGAAAUGGAAUCUCCUAGUGGCCCUUCUCCCUCUACAGCUCUGGUGUUACACUGAAAAACUAGAAGUUUCAAAACAGACAAGGGAAAAAGAGAAACAUCAGAAAGUCUGAUUAAAGUAGAAGCAUCAUAUUUCUAUCAACGUAUCCACUGUGCUUGGCAGGGGAUGGGCCCUUCUGCUGCAGCAUAAGAGGGGUCAUUCAAUGGCCUGUGUCAGCUACUGGGAUGGACCUGCUGUCCAUGGGAUACUGACACCCACUAGUGAAGCAGAUCUUGCUCUGUCUCUUCUCUGUGUGACUCUGUAAUAUUCACCGGCAGGAAAACCCAAGGGAAUGACUACUAUGACAUCUGAUGAACAAUGCGGGAGUUGCAGAGAGAGGUGUCCUGUGUUUGUUCCCAGUCUUCCUUCACUCACCUGCACCUGCUCCUGCCCUGCUUCGGCCAACAUGUUCUAUGCAGGGUGGUUUUGCUGAUGAGACAGCUGCAGUUUGGGGAGUGUGAUAUCAAGGAAAGCAGUGUCUUGAGUCUGUCACUUUCUCUCUCUGUCCCAUUGGCUGCUCACUGAUGUCACUUAGAGGAAGGCAGGGGCACAAGAUGGGAGGACCCAGAGCUCCGGGUUCUUAAUGAAUUUUUGCCACCUUCAAUGAGAAAGACUGAAACAAAAAACUCAGAAGAAAGAAAGAGACUGAGAUAGCAAAUAUGACAAACUGUUAAAAAUUCAUGAAUCUGUUAUGGAAUACUAUGCAGCCAUAAAAAAGGAUGAGUUCCUGUCCUUUGCAAGGACGUGUAUGAAGCUGGAAACCAUCAUUCUGAGCAAACUAAAACAGGAACAGAAAACCAAACACCACAUGUUCUCACUCAUAAGUGGGAGUUGAACAAUGAGAACACAUGGACACGGCGGGGUGGUGGGAACAUCACACACCGGGGCCUGUCAGAGGGGAGGGGGCUAGGGGAGAGAUAGCAUUAGGAGAAAUACCUAAUGUAGAUGAUGGGUUGAUGGGUGCAGCAAACCACCAUGGCAUGUGUAUACCUAUGUAACAAACCUGCAUGUUCUGCACAUGUAUCCCAGAACUUAAAGUAUAAUAAUAAAAAGAGAGAUUAAAAAAAUUGGUGAAUCUGGGCAAAAUGUACACAGGAUUUUUCUGUACUGUUCUUGCAACUUUUCUACAGAUUUGAAAUGUUACAAAAUAAAAGGUAUUUUUAGAAAAAGAG
rnacentral:lncRNA from 10 species